rnacentral:lncRNA from 1 species
AGGCCUUGGCUUGCAUUGGGCAUGGAUAGCAUGGUAAGCACCUAUUUGUGCAUAACUCCCACCCUUGUAGGAAGAAGCCUUUUAAAAAGGGGGGAAGUGCAAAGAAAGGCAACCCAAAAACACAGUAAUUUAAAUUUAUGGAAGCUUGUAGUUUUUUUGAAACAACUUUUUGUAGUUGUUUAAAGUUUUGUAGACGACGAUUGUUUUGCAUAUCUAUUGUUAUUUAUUUUAGUAUGUUUUUUAAGGUUUCCAUUCCAUUGAAACAUCAGAUAUCUCAAGUGAUUAUACAUGAAAUUACUUGUAUUAAUAGAGUAAACUUUUACAAAGAUUUAUUGCUAGUGAAUAAGGGUCGUGUAGGAACACCAAAAUUUUCUAGCUUAGUCCUAGUUUUUGUCAUAAUUUAUUCCGAAAUAGAUAACGAAAUUAGG